AACUAACUAUUUUGGCUCAGCGAUCCAAAGAGAAUCUUGGCCUCCGAAACGAGAGCGUGCCACCUGUCCCGAUCCUGCGCAACUUCCUGCCAGUUACUGACGCGAAGCUGAAGCAGAUCCGCCGCCACACUAUCUUCCCAGCGAUACCUGGGCCGACCCACCGGACGGCCCGAUCCUCUCCCAUUCUGAGUAGGUGACCGAACCAGCGAAGUCUGUGCGCUUUCGUUUCGCCGACGAUAUUGGGUUCGGCCACUAACUCCUCGAUCUCGGCAUUUUUCCGGAUCCUCCAGGUGCCGUCAUCUCUCUGAAUAGGUCCCAGGAUCUU